rnacentral:rRNA from 1 species
GACGAACGCUGGCGGCGUGCCUAAUACAUGCAAGUCGAACGCUUUUUCUUUCACCGGAGCUUGCUCCACCGAAAGGAAAAGAGUGGCGAACGGGUGAGUAACACGUGGGUAACCUGCCCAUCAGAAGGGGAUAACACUUGGAAACAGGUGCUAAUACCGUAUAACACUAUUUUCCGCAUGGAAGAAAGUUGAAAGGCGCUUUUGCGUCACUGAUGGAUGGACCCGCGGUGCAUUAGCUAGUUGGUGAGGUAACGGCUCACCAAGGCAACGAUGCAUAGCCGACCUGAGAGGGUGAUCGGCCACACUGGGACUGAGACACGGCCCAGACUCCUACGGGAGGCAGCAGUAGGGAAUCUUCGGCAAUGGACGAAAGUCUGACCGAGCAACGCCGCGUGAGUGAAGAAGGUUUUCGGAUCGUAAAACUCUGUUGUUAGAGAAGAACAAGGAUGAGAGUAAAAUGUUCAUCCCUUGACGGUAACUAACCAGAAAGCCACGGCUAACUACGUGCCAGCAGCCGCAGUAA